rnacentral:rRNA from 1 species
GAUUUCUGACUUGGCGCGCCUGGCCCGCCGCUUUGUGCGUGUGAGUGCCGGGUCGCGCCUGUCAUCCGCCUUGUCAGUCUGGUUGCUCUUCAUUGAGUGAUCUUGCUGUCUUGGCCUUUUACUUUGAAAAAAUUAGAGUGUUUAAAGCAGGCUUCUGCUCUGAAUACAUUAGCAUGGAAUAAUAAUCUAGGACUUUGGUCCUAUUUUGUUGGUUUCUAGGACUGAAGUAAUGAUUGAUAGGGAUAGUUGGGGGUGCUAGUAUUCAGUGGCCAGAGGUGAAAUUCUCGGAUUCACUGAAGACUAACUAUUGCGAAAGCAUU